rnacentral:lncRNA from 1 species
CAGCCUUACCAGUGCCAACUGGAGGGGGAUAUUGCUUCCCUUGAUCUGUCGCCCACACUCCUCUUGAAGUGACUCAGCAUGUAGUUCACCUUAUUUGCAGUUGAGAUAGCAUUUUUGGUUCAUAUUCACCCAAGAGUAAAUAAUCCACCACAAAGCCUCAGACUUUCUCAGCUACAGUCAACAUGGUUCUGGUCAGGUAAUUCGUCGCCCCAGUUUUAGUAAAAUAUAUGGCAUUCAUUUUCAGGUGUGACAAUAAAUUUGUAAUCUCAUGACAAUUUAAACAGCCUGUGGCACAGGAACAGAGAAACCUUCACACGUCCUAAUGAAAGAAGGUAGUCCUUACUUCAAAAGAAGAAACUUAAACAACAGGAGGUAUUGCAUGGAAAAUGAAAGUAAAUAGUCGAACAUGAGCUGACAGUGAGAUACUGAUGUUUAGUACAAAAAGCAGCAGUUUCAGCAUCAGCUGCCCGUGCCAUUAUAUUUUAUUGACGUCUCCCAUGUCUGAUCAAAGUAAUCGAGGUUAGAAUCACAGAAUCAUAGAAUAAUUCAGGUUGGAAAAGACCUCUAAAAUCAUCCAGUCCAACCUUUAACCUAGUACUGACAAGUCCACCACCAAACCAUGCUACUAAUUUCUACAUCGACACAUUUCGUAAAGACCCCCAGGGAUGGUGACUAAUGGUGCCUUGACAAAACUCCGUUGGGUUGCCAGUCUCACAUACAAUGUCAUUUUUCACAGAGGCUAACAGAAAACAGUAUGGCUUAAGAACAGGAAAAUAAACACGACAGAAAGUUUUACCAAGGUAAGUCAACUGGAAAGAAGGAAAUCCCCAAAUACCCGUGGUGCUCAACAUGUUCUCUGGAAUUCCAGAACGAUUUCUGCAACGGCUCCCAGAAAUCUCCUAGGCAGGCACCCUGUGCUCAAGUGAGGCAAGAAGGCUGCUAGCUUUCAGCCUGGGGCUGUGUUCUUCAGAGUGCUCUACCUGGCAGCCUCUGCAGGUACAUGGGACUGCACUUUCUUUUUAACCAAGCUCACUGAUCAUGCCAGGAGCAACAAGUUCCUGAAGUUCCAGCACAUUGCCUGCAAACCUCCUGUCAACGUUGUCAACGUGACCUCAGCAGUAAGAAUGACUGAGAGUGAGAAGGUUGUCAUCAGUGUGACAGAAAGAGAUGAGACCCACAGCCCUUUUCUUCAAGGUUAACAGCAUGCAAGAUGUGACUUUGCAUCCUCUGAGCAAUGUCAGUUUUCUUACAUUCACCCCAAGAGUCUUUCCAUUGCAUCAUUUCUAGAACUUGCCUUCAUGUUUCUUAUUUCCAGUGAAAUAGCACUUUCUUCCCUUGUGAAGUUGUUUU